GCCAGGUGUGGUGGUGCACACCUGUAGUCCCAGCUACUUGGGAGGCUUGAGGUGGGAGGAUCACUUGAGCCUGGGGGAACUGAGGCUGCAGUGAGCUGUGAUUGUGCCACUGCACUCCAGCCUGGUUGACAGAGUGAGACCCUGUCUCCA
ensembl:misc_RNA Metazoa_SRP Metazoan signal recognition particle RNA